UACGGGGGGGGCAAGCGUUGUUCGGAAUUACUGGGCGUAAAGGGCUCGUAGGCGGCCAACUAAGUCGGACGUGAAAUCCCCAGGCUCAACCUGGGAACUGCGUCCGAUACUGGAUGGCUUGAAUCCGGGAGAGGGAUGCAGAAUUCCAGGUGUAGCGGUGAAAUGCGUAGAUAUCUGGAGGAACACCAGUGGCGAAAGCGGCCACCUGGACUGCACCUGACGCUGACACGCGAAAGCUAGGGGAGCGAACGGG
rnacentral:rRNA from 1 species